GUGAGACGCCGCCGCUCGGCUGGCUCGGCUGAACUAACCCGGAGUGUUUGGACGGUUCUUCACUCUGAGAGCAGAGCUGAAUUCCUCCUUCUCUCUGUCUUUGAGACACUUUAAAGAUGAGCAGUUUAAUGGCCUAUAAGGAGCCCUUCGACAGAAGCAAUCCUGAGCCUGUUGAGGACACAGACACCACCAGCUUUAUGGCGGAAAUUUCCCUGGAGGCCAAUUAUCCCGUCCAAGUCACAGAUCCUCAUGACGCUGUGACACUACACCUCAGCUCCAUGCCCUCCGGAUACCUGCAGCGCUCCUCGCAGGACAAGAUCAGACAGCCAGUCGAAGAUCUGGAAGACUGCUCUUGCCCUUCAUCUACUUCACCAGACUGCCCCAAACAGCUGCAGCUCCUCCGCAGUCCUUGUGAAAAGUGCUGCUGCCCAGCACCUCCACCAAAGAUCAGUGACCUCAUGAACGACAAAGACCUGCUGGACUUACUGCGCUUGAAGCUGGACCCAAACCACUGCACGGUUAAAAACUGGAAGAACUUUGCGAGCCGUUGGGGAAUGAGCUACGACGAACUCACCCUGCUGGAGCACCGGACCCAGGGCUCCUUGUCUCACAGCCCCACUCAAGAGUUCCUGCUGCGCUACAACCAGAAGACGGUGACCGAGCUCACCGAACUGUGCCGCAUCUAUCAGCGCAUUGACGUGCUGCGGCUGCUUCAGAGCUGGAUAGAGAAGGACUGGCCGUCACGCUGGCAGCAGACUCACUAAUCACAUGGAAAUGUGGAUUUAUCUGUUGGGUUUUUUCUGUUCAUGUUCAAGAUUUCUUUUACAUUUCUGGAUCCAAGCUUUUGUAGGUAGCUGUUUAGUAAACUUUUGAACAGAAAACCUUUUAAAGAAUGAAAGAUAUCGAGAAGAAACAGCAAUUCUAAAACCUUGAUCAUCAAAGGUAAACAGAUAACCUUAGAAAUAACAUGGAACUUAAAUUUCCCUUUUGUUCUCUAGACAUCUGCAGUGCUGUGAUGUUUCACAUCCAAUGUAAAGAUAAAAACAAACACGUGAAGCACAUUCAAAGCAUUGUACAGAAGCUCUAUGCAAUGGUGAUAUAAAUAAGGACGGUAAUGGAUGAGCUGCUGACUUGUUCCGUAUCACUUGACUUACGACUGAUUUCUCUUUUCUGUGAAACACGAUUGUUGAAAAUAUUUUUUUUCUCAUUUAAAUACCAGACUUGUUUUUUUGUUGUCUGCAUGUUCACCUCAAAGUAAGAUGUUCCUACCUAUGGAGAGAAUUUUGUUCCAGGAUUAUUGAAAAUGACAAAAUGCAUAACAAAAAAGAUGUUUCAGACAGAAUGAAUCAAAAAUGAAGCUUUGAAAAAUGUUUAAUCCAAAGUAAAAUACUAUGGAAGCAUAUUGAAUUCA